rnacentral:lncRNA from 1 species
AAAAAAAAAAAAACAUAAAAAUAGAGAAAAAUAUUUAAUCCAUAUUAAUAUUACUCAAGGAAAUUGUGCCUUCUCAUUGUCUUAUAUAAAUUAAGCUACACUACUCAUGCUUGCAAAUGUAUGGGAAUAUGCCACGGGGAGGGGAUAUUGUAUUCUGAAGAAAUUCAGCAAAUUUUUUUAUGGAAAUGCUGGAUUCUCUGAACAUAUAACUGCUGAAAAAAUUGGAAGGUCCAAAAUAGCAGUGCACAAUGUUAUCAAAAAAGGUACAGCUUAUGGAAAAAAUAAAGGUUCAGGAAGAAGAAAGAAGUUAACUUCCAGAAACACGACACAUUUGUCGACUUGCUUUUAAGAAGGAGUUAUCAACAAGAGAAAUUUCUGCGGAAAGGAAUAGUCAGGUAUCUCAUGUCACUAUUUGGAAAGAAUUAAAAAUGCAGGAUAAUAUAGUUUAUACAAAGCUGAAACCAAAACCAAAAGCUGCUCCCACAUCAUAAGC